CUACGUGGCAUUACCGUAAUGGUUGAGAUUGAGAGAGAGACUUAAAAAAAAUUUUAGAAGAGAUGAAGGUGAAGAAAGAAGAAUGGAUUCACGAAGGCCGUUGCCGUCAUCACACUCAUCAAUCCUCCUGUCAAUUCUCUCUCUUUCGACGAUACUCCUCUCUAAUUUCAUCAGAUUUCUAGUACUAUACAACUUCAAGAGUAACUACGAGGAGGCUUUGAGCAGGAAUGAUGUUAAAGCUAUUGUUAUUACGAGUAUGUUUUUCGUCAACAUCAGAAUCUUCUUCGUCUUCGUCGUUUACGUUCGAGAAAGAUGGACUGUGAUGCUCGAUAACAGAACCCUUAAAACCCCUUCCAAAAGACCUCUUAAGCUUCGUUCUUUGGCUCUCGCUAAGGCCAUUGCAGCUGAAUGGGAGUAUCAGGUUCGUUCUUUGUCGAGAUGGCCUUAGCUAAAGCCGAUGAUGUUAUGGUGUACAACAUUCAAAGCUCUGUAUCGAUGAUAGAUGCUAAGAAGGAAAAGCAUCAGGUGUAAUGGGAACUGCUGAAUGGAGAGCCAUGAAGAGUCCAUCUUACUACAAGUGUGGUGAUUAUGUUCCUGGACUCAAGGUCAGCUUUUGAAUAUUCUUAUUUGUUUUAAGGAUUGAUGUGAGAGUUUUAAGAUGAGGGAGGAGAAGUUUGGUUGGCUUAUAUUAUCUUUGAGCAAAUGGAUUAGUUUCAUUUCCUGAAUCACAUGAAGUUCCUAGUUUUCCAUAUAGAAAACAGGUAGUAUGUUAGCAACUUGGUACUACAGAGCUCUUUCAUUCGCUAGCCUUUCACUUUAGAGAUGUAAUGAAAAUCAUUAGUCGAUAAUGAUGUCAUGGUCCUCUAUUGUUAACAGAUUCAUGGUGCAUUAUUACUGUAAUCUUUCGUUUGAUGUUUCUUCCCUUCUUUGCUUUCAUGACUGUAAUCUUAAAUGAUGCGUUCCUUCUUUCUUGUAGAACGAAACUUUCAAUGGACAUUACAAGAAAACUCGAAGGUUUUGGUUUUAAAACUGCAGGGAUUUGAUUUUUAAAACUACAGGUUUUGGUUUUGGAAACUGCAGUUUCUGUUUUGAAUACUUUCAGGUUUUGGAUUCACUGGUGUUUUCAGGCUGCCUCUAGUUGAUGGUUGCAGAUUGUUGGACCGUUUAGUUUCAGAGUGGAGUCUGGAAUUCAGAUUGAUCUGAAGAAUGGAGCUAACCCCGUGACUGUAGAUAAGACAGUAUUUGCUAUGGAAUAUGCUAUUCAAGUGCUUGCUUCUGCCAAGGCUGUUGCUUGGUUCUCCCCACAACAGAAAUAAUUCAUGGUUGAGCUUCGUUUCUUUGAGAUAUAGUAUCAGGACUUUCCACUCAAAAUGUCUAGCUUGAUCCUAUGAAGAUUGAAGUCGUCUUGCAGAGAAGUAAAUAGACAAUGUUUGAUUUUUUUUCAGUUUCUUAUGUUAAACAGAAGAAUGAUUUAAUAGAAGGGAAGUUUACAUCUUGUUA